ACCUGCCUAUUAAUCGAUUCUCCACGAUAUAUUUUACUUUUAUUUAAAUCUUAUAUACCUCCAUCUCAAGGAUUAAUAAUUAUAUUCUCCCCCUAAUAGAAAUUCUAAAAAGUUAGGUAAAGGUGUAGACUACAUAAAAGCUGGGGUGGGUUACAAUAAAUCUUAUUUAAGGAUGUUUAAUUAAAAUUUUAAUUGAAAAAGGAUUUAUAAGUAAUUUAAGAAUAAUAUUCCUUAAUGAACCUGAUAAAUAAUGUGC
rnacentral:rRNA from 1 species